GACGAACGCUGGCGGCGUGCUUAACACAUGCAAGUCGAACGGUAAGGCCCCUUCUGGGGUACACGAGUGGCGAACGGGCGAGUAACACGCGCGCAACCUGCCCUUGCCUCUGGAAUAACAGUUGGAAACAGCUGCUAAUACUGGCUAUUCAUCGUCUCCUUCCUGGGGGGUGGUGGAAAGCUCCGGCGGUCGGGGAUGGGCUCGCGGCCUAUCAGCUUGUUGGUGAGGUAAUGGCUCACCAAGGCUUCGACGGGUAGCCGGCCUGAGAGGGUGACCGGCCACACUGGGACUGAGAUACGGCCCAGACUCCUACGGGAGGCAGCAGUGGGGAAUAUUGCACAAUGGGCGGAAGCCUGAUGCAGCAACGCCGCGUGCGGGAUGACGGCCUUCGGGUUGUAAACCGCUUUCAGUAGGGACGAAGGGUGACUGACGGUACCUACAGAAGAAGGACCGGCUAACUACGUG
rnacentral:rRNA from 1 species